rnacentral:rRNA from 1 species
UCGAACGAGAAAGUGGAGCAAUCCAUGAGUACAGUGGCGACCGGGUGAGUAACACGUGACCAACCUGCCCUCGAGUGGGGAACAACAGCGGGAAACCGCUGCUAAUACCGCAUAACAUCCUUGAGUCGGAAGACUUGGGGAUCAAAGGAGCAAUCCGCUUGAGGAGGGGGUCGCGGCUGAUUAGCUAGUUGGCGGGGUAAUGGCCCACCAAGGCAAAGAUCGGUAUCCGGCCUGAGAGGGCGCACGGACACACUGGAACUGAAACACGGUCCAGACUCCUACGGGAGGCAGCAGUGGGGAAUUUUGCGCAAUGGGGGAAACCCUGACGCAGCAACGCCGCGUGGAGGAUGAAGUCCCUUGGGACGUAAACUCCUUUCGACCGGGACGAUAAUGACGGUAUCCGGUGGAAGAAGCACCGGCUAACUCUGUG